UACGUAGGUGGCGAGCGUUGUCCGGAAUUACUGGGCGUAAAGGGCGCGCAGGCGGUUCGUUAAGUCCAAGGUGAAAUCCCACGGCUCAACUGUGGGGGGACCCUGGAUACUGGCGGGCUGGAGUGCGGGAGAGGGAAGCGGAAUUCCACGUGUAACGGUGAAAUGUAUAGAUAUGUGGAGGAACACCGGUGGCGAAGGCGGCUUCCUGGACCGUAACUGACGCUGAGGCGCGAAAGCUGGGGGAGCGAACAGG
rnacentral:rRNA from 2 species